rnacentral:rRNA from 1 species
CGAACGCUGGCGGCGUGCCUACUACAUGCAAGUCGCGCGGACUGAUUCAGAGCUUGCUCUUAUGACGUUAGCGGCGGACGGGUGAGUAACACGUGGGCAACCUGCCCUGUAGAUCGGGAUAACACCGAGAAAUCGGUGCUAAUACCGGGUAAUAUCUGAGAUCACAUGAUCUUAGGUUAAAAGAUGGCUCCGGCUAUCACUACAGGAUGGGCCCGCGGCGCAUUAGCUAGUUGGUAAGGUAAUGGCUUACCAAGGCGACGAUGCGUAGCCGACCUGAGAGGGUGAUCGGCCACACUGGGACUGAGACACGGCCCAGACUCCUACGGGAGGCAGCAGUAGGGAAUCUUCCGCAAUGGACGAAAGUCUGACGGAGCAACGCCGCGUGAGUGAUGAAGGGGUUCGGCUCGUAAAGCUCUGUUGUUAGGGAAGAAACAGUACCGAACGAACUAGGUCGGUACCUUGACGGUACCUAACCAGAAAGCCACGGCUAACUACGUG